rnacentral:rRNA from 1 species
UACGGGGGGUGCAAGCGUUACUCGGAAUCAUUGGGCGUAAAGGGCGCGUAGGCGGCCAAGUAAGUCAGGUGUGAAAGCCCGGGGCUCAACCUCGGAAGUGCAUUUGAUACUGCUUGGCUUGAGUAUGGGAGAGGGAAGUGGAAUUCCUGGUGUAGAGGUGAAAUUCGUAGAUAUCAGGAGGAACACCGGUGGCGAAGGCGACUUCCUGGACCAAUACUGACGCUGAGGCGCGAAGGCGUGGGGAGCAAAC